rnacentral:rRNA from 1 species
GACGAACGCUGGCGGCGUGCUUAACACAUGCAAGUCGAACGGAAAGGCCCUGCUUUUGUGGGGUGCUCGAGUGGCGAACGGGUGAGUAACACGUGAGUAACCUGCCCUUGACUUUGGGAUAACUUCAGGAAACUGGGGCUAAUACCGGAUAGGAGCUCCUGCUGCAUGGUGGGGGUUGGAAAGUUUCGGCGGUUGGGGAUGGACUCGCGGCUUAUCAGCUUGUUGGUGGGGUAGUGGCUUACCAAGGCUUUGACGGGUAGCCGGCCUGAGAGGGUGACCGGCCACAUUGGGACUGAGAUACGGCCCAGACUCCUACGGGAGGCAGCAGUGGGGAAUAUUGCACAAUGGGCUGAAGCCUGAUGUAGCAACGCCGCGUGCGGGAUGACGGCCUUCGGGUUGUAAACCGCUUUCGCCUGUGACGAAGCGUGAGUGACGGUAAUGGGUAAAGAAGCACCGGCUAACUACGUG